rnacentral:tRNA from 1 species
GGAGGGGUGGCAGAGUGGUCGAAUGCACCGGUCUUGAAAACCGGCGCGGGUUAAUAGCCCGCCGAGAGUUCGAAUCUCUCCUCCUCCGCCA